UCCCUUAUAUGCCAUAACUUAGGAUGGAUGAACACAGCUAUGAGAAGCUGUGAGAGGUUGAGCUAUGAGAGGCUUAGCCAUUUGUAAAGUGAGGCCAAACUUGUCUUCCAUGUUCAUAGUCUCAGGUAGAACUCCAUCUUCAAGCUUCCAAUCAAAGCAGUUGAUGAGUGAACCCAGCAUCAAGUGCAACAUUCUCAUUGCCAAUGGCAAACCUGGACAGAUUCUCCUCCCACCCCCAAAUGGAAUAAGCUCAAAGUUUUUUCCCAUAACAUCAAUUUGGUUGUCUAAUCCCAAGAACCUCUCUGGCAUAAAAGAGUUUGGAUUGUCCCAAAUGCUGGGGUCUCUGCCUAUGGCCCAAACAUUGACUAGAACUUGUGCACCCUUCGGAACAAUGUAGCCCCCGAUUUCUACAUCUGUUUCAGCUUUUCGUGGCAGUAGCAAUGGAACCGCUGGGUGCAAGCGGAAGGUCUCCUUGAUUAUUGCUUGUAAGUAAGGCAGUCUAGCAAUGUCAGAUUCCUCGAUUGGUUUUCCUUUUCCAAUUGCUUGAUCCAUCUCUUCUUGAGCUUUAGAAAGACAUUUUGGGUUGUUUAGUAGCUCAGCCAUUGCCCAUUCCAAUGUGGCUGAAGUUGUAUCUGUGCCCGCAGUCAAAUAGAGCCUGCAUACACAAUAGUUCAUAGUUCAUACUAAUCAUUUAGACACCAUGCAAAAUUAAAUGAAUCAUAUUAACGUAUAAUCAUCAUGUACUGAUUAGUGAUUACUGAACAAAAGAUUUAGUAAGCAUAGCAUUAUUGAGUUAAGCAACCAAGAACAUGGGAAAACAGUAUAAACUAACCAGAAACAAGUGUUCAACAACUUGGAGGUCUUUCAUAUCCUCCUCAUUAUUCUCUUGACUGAUGUUCAUAAUGGUAUCCAACAUAUCAUUAUGUGUGACAUAAUCAUUCCCUUUUCUGGAGUCCGUCCUUUGAUUGAUCAUAGAUCCGAUGAAGCCUAACAUCUUGAUGUAGUAACUGUGAAAGCGACGACGUAUGCCUGGGGUCAAUCUUCCUAAGCACAGGAAAAAAGUCCCCUAAAAUUCGGCUUCCCAGCCUCUUCCAUUAGACCCCAAACAAUCUCCUUGAACUCUCUAGCCGUUUCAUUACUCCCCGAGCCAGUGUCAGCUAAAUCCAUAGAGAAACAAGUCCUUGAUAGCAGAUUGAGCGUGGUUUUGAAAGCAGCCUCUCCAAUAUCUACUGCCACACCCUUUACCAUGCAGUCAUUGACACUAGCAAUGAGCUCUUGCAAUUUGAAUCGCCGACUGUCUUGGUUGGCAUCAAGAACUUUGGUGGCAAACAAUUGCGAGUUACAUAGUUUGCGAAGGUUUCUCCACCUCGGUGAUACAGGAAGCCAAGGCAAGCUGUAGUCUGCAAAGGCUAGUAGUGCAUCUGGGACUGUUCUGUUGCAGAAGAAUUGAUCAUGGUUUCGGAGGAUUUCUUUGGCCAUGGCUGAUGAAGAAGCUACAACAGUAGUGACUUGCCCGAGUUGCAAACUGAUUAAGGGGCCGUAGCGUUGUGAAAGCUUAGUCAGAGAGACAUGAGGUUUCUCUCCAAGCUCAAACAGAUUCCCAACAAGUGGAAAUGGCUUUGGCCCUGGAGGAAGCCUAAGUCUGGUUCUUCCAUAGAGGGCUUGGAUCAAGAACCAGGAGGCAGCAAAGCACAGUGACAAGAGUAUGAAGCUCAAGAAAAAAUCCAUCUCCCACUUGAAGAUUGAAACUGGUUUAACAGAGAGGCUGAGUUGAGACAAGUACAAGAAUCAAUCUUGUAGAUGUUGCCCUGUGUGGGCAUAUAAAUAUUCUAGCUUGCUGUACUAUACAAUCUUUUAGAUGUUGCCCUGAGUUUGAAUAUGUGGAUCAGGGCUCUCUAACUGUCUCUGUUGUAGUUGCAGCCAAAAAUGAAUGAAAAAACAGAGACGUGCUGAGAUUGGGGAAGGCUCUAGUGCAGCAAUUUGAUAAAAUAUCUUGCUUGCCAGCAGAAUGAGAAGGACGAAGAUAAUGUGCUUCAGUUACACAUGUCUUUCUUAGGGGGGCAGUGGGGUUCCAAAUCUGUGGGGGUAAGAUAUUCACCCUUUAUUAAAUUGGGCCCAUAAAAUAAUGUGCUUCAGUUACACAUGGCUUUUGUCAACUUUCAUCAAUUCUGUUUUCGAAAAUUUUGUUCAAGAUCCAGAUGAUAAUGAAAGAAAACAAAGAUGGACAAAAAAGUCGUACGAAAUACUAAUACAACAAAUUAAGGGGAAACUAACAAGAUUUUCCAAAGAGCUACAAAAUUUUCUCUUCAAAGAAUAACAUUUUUCUUAGAUUUUUGCUCUGUCUCUCAUUUGGCAAAUACUAAAGCUCUGUUUUUAGUUGGCUUGUGGUGCUUUUUGACUGACGGAGACGUCCAUUUUCUUUGUGUAACCGUAUAUAUGGGUAAGAAUUAGUAGUCAAAUGCAUUUGGUAUAAGAAAAUAUCCAAGAAGUUCAUAAUAUGCAAGUAGAGAAAGAGAACAAAGAAGAUGUAAAAGACUAAAUUUCUACAAAAUUUCUAAAAGAAAACAUAAUCCCAGAGUUUCUGCCUACUACUCCUCUUCUUCUGCCUCCCUCAACCAUCGGACAAAAUUUUCGGCCUGCCUGACGAAAACUUUAUCUGAUUCAUCUGCAUUUGUCUUUUCUUCGACCCACCUGAGAAUGGCUUCUUCUUGGAUAACUUCUUGAUCAUAGAGUUGAUCCAAUAUCUUAUCGAACACAGAGGCAAAUUCCUUGGUAGACUCCGAACACAUUUCUUCAAACUUCAUUAUCACUUCUAUCUCCUCAUCUAUGUCUGAUAGGUAAUACUUGAGCAGGUGUUUCCAUUCUGAAAUUACCAUGGCAGCAGCUCGCACCAAUUCGCUUGCCGAUUCAUGUGGAGCUUCCAAUGUCAGUUUCAUUACGGAGUAAAAUAUAGCUCCAGCACAAUCUGCAGUUUGCUUGUUGAAUGACAAUCGCAGCGCGUUCACUUCCAACACCACAUGAUCUAGUGUUUUAUUUUCAUGCACAGCUGUUAGGAAGGUUGCUUCAACCUCAUUCUCAAAGUCAGAAUAGUCUUCAUUACAGUUGUCUUCAGAAUCACUAGAUUCAAGUUCCAGCUCUGCAAGACUGCUGCCAUCUUGUGCAAAGUACUCCUGAUCCUCCUCCUCAGCGGCACGUAUCGCCUCAGCAAGUUUCUCUGCAGGAAUAGGAGCAAUUGAGUUUCUCCAAUCUUCAUCACAAACUGACCAAACACAACCAGCCCCAUUAGUACCGAGCUCAUUUGGUUUAUUUACAUCGCAAUCAAUAGGGGGUGAGAUUUCUGCAUUGCUAUUAUCGGCGACAUACUCCAGCUCCUCAUCAUCACUAUCUUGCUCAGUUGGUUGCUGAAGUAAUGAUACCUUUAAAUAUGAAGGAACAGUGCAUUGUUCUCCUAGAACAACCUGGAAAGACAAAACUACUCCAGGUUCCAAAACUGCCCCGGACUUGAUGACCACUCCAUCACAAACUACAACAUGUUUUAGUUUGCAUCCAUCUUCAAUGGUGGCAUUGUCCCAUAUAUAACAACCUUCUAUGGAAACAUUUGACCCAAUAGAACACCCUCUCCCAAUAACAGAACUUAUAAUUUCGGUAUUGUCCCCAAUCUUGGUGCCACGUCCGAUUUCUUUAACCUGAACCGCUGGUGUCGAGGAUGGGUAAGUCCCUCUCUGAAUUAUGUCCUUGCUAAUUGUAUCAUAGCUUCGGAAAUUGUCAACCUUAGCAGCAUAACUACUCGAGUCAAUUUCAUGUGUGAAUAUCUUGUAUCCCAAAACGUCAUCUUCAAGCAAUCCACCCAAUAAAUCACGACGAAGAUCUUGGUAAUCGAAAUUGUCUGCGAGAAGGCUAAGGACUUCAGGAGAGCAGAUAUCAAUGUAGCAAUCCUCUCUGUCAUAAUGAAGCGAAAUCGCAGAUUUACCAGCAAGCAUUGUCUUAUCAAGACAAAAUAUAGAUUCCUUUGCAUGGUCUGCCUUAUCCUCGUAACACAAGAGCUGCUUUGUGCUAGGAUCUAUUGCCAUAAACAGCUCACCAUUGCCGAGUAAUCGAGAUUGGUGUGUCAUGAUUUGAGAAGGUUUGACAACAAUUGUCAUAACAGCAUUCUUAUCCUUCUUUCUUCUCUCUUUAUGGUCUUGCAGCACUUGAGUAAGGGACAUGUCAGUUACAGUAUCCCCACUUAUGAGGACAAAAUCCCCAUGGAUCACAUCGCGCUCAUAUAUCAAACGCAGGGCAUCUCCAGCACUAGCACAAGAUCGUGACUCAAUUGUGGUGACGGUGAAGGAGCUUGGUUGAGAGACUUCAGGGUGGUUCUCCAGAUAACUGAUCACUUGCUUGGAGUGAAAGCAGCACAAAACAAAGACCUCCUUGACGCCAGUAGACUUGAGCCAAGCCAAGGUGUAGCAAAUCAUGGGCACAUUUACUAAUGGAAAUAGCACUUUGGGACGUUCAAGGGUGAUGGGGUCGAAUUUGUUGGUGAAACUAUCGGCUAAGAGGACGGCCUGCAGGGGAACAUGCCCUAAUUCUUCGGAGUCCUCAGAACGGCUCGAGGUACCCUUCUUCUUUGCACCCAUUGCUUCUCCUCGAUCUUUGUAUGAAAGUAUGAAUGAAGUAAAAUCAUUUAGGAGAAAUCGAUCAAUGAACUAGCUUGUGAUCGCAACCUCUGCCUUUUAUAGAACCCGGGUAUGUCAUGCAUUCCUGGCUGCUUUAAGGAUAGGAAUACUGUCCUCUGCCCAAUUUGGAAUAGGAAUGGGAAUGGGAAUGGGAAUAGGAAUUUCCUUUUCACUGGAAAAUAAUAUAUAUACCAGGUUAAGAUAGGAACUAUAGAUAUGGAAAUUUAUGUUCCUAAUUCAAAUCUAGUAAGUUUGUGUCUCCUAAUCUAAUUAGGCAAUUUCUCCAUGUUGUCUCAGCAAUUAGAGUGGCAGGGGGAUAGAUGAGACAGGAUGAGUAUAAUUCACUAGCUAUAGAUAUAUAAUACAACUGGUGACCUUUAACAGUAGGUCCUUUCAGGAAAAAAGAAAAAAAAAGAAAAAGUAAAAUGGCAUGAUCGAACUGAUUCAUAUAAGGAAGAUCACGAGGGGGAGUUUGUAUUUCAAUUUACCUAGAGCAUAAUGGCUAAUUAGAGCAGUGUCACUCCAAGAUCUGUGUUGAUGUUUUUGGCAUCAGUCAAAUAUAUGGUGACAUAAACUUAUAUGAAAGGAAAUGAAAACAAAGGAAAAGUUGGUUUGCUGCAUGGCUUACCAGAAUAAUGAGAAAUGAGAAUAUCAUAUUUUCCAGUAAAGCUUUAAAAUGAAGAAAUUUCGAUAUGAUAUAUUCACAAUCCGCAGUUGUGCUGUCUUGGUACUUUUCUCCUAAUGUCUUUGAAUACAUCUGAUUCAGAGGAAGGUCUUUGUUUGCAUUUUCAUAUGUACAAGAUGUUAGACACCACUGACCCUCAAAAACUAGAGCUCUAAGGGGAAUGGAUUAACAAUCUAUCUCAAUCUAGUACAUGAAUGUGUACUGAUACCUGGAUUAUCAUAGAGGUGCUUAUUGCUGCUGACGGUGAAUUCUGUUGGUUUGUUAUGAGCUUAAACUUUUUCAUCUCUGCCAUGAGGUCUUUUACUCUUCGUGCAGGUGAACUUUAGAUGUCCAAAAUUUAGAUAUACGUAUUUCCCUUGCGUCUAAAUACUGAAAACUCAUGGUCACCUAAUGUGUUAUAGUCUAAAAACUCCUGCCAGUCAGACUGGAUACUCUUAGGGGAUCAAGCCAGAAACUAGUAUACUCCGCAUUUUAAUUUUUAACCAUAACAAGCCGGUAACAUGUUUAAGGAUGCCUCACAAAAAGCUGAUGAAGCGCAGAAUCCAUGACUAGUUCUUGAUCCCCAUAACAUGCCUAGCCAAUUCUGAUAUGGAACUAUUUUCUGAUUAGUUUUGUUUUAGUUCCAGCCUCUUUCCUGCUGCUUUCUUUUUCCGGCUCUUCCCUCCUGCUGCCUCUUUUACAUCUCAAUGAUUAUUUAGAUUCAAUAAACAUCAAUCAGUAUAUCCAGUACUAAGAUAAAGUUAACAGAAAAAUUACUACAAGGAGGAACAAAUCAGCACUUAAGACGUUUUAUUAGAAUGUUUUAGCCCCAAACAUGGAAGGACUACAAUAGCAGCCAACUUAUAACUGAAACUAAAAGGAUAGUGAUUAAAUGCUCAACAGAUGAACUACUGGUAUUCAGAGUGAGCCUUCAUUACAGAAAUAUAUAAGAAAAUUACUUUUUUUGUCUUUUUUUUCUUUAGCAAAUCACAUAUACAUCCUCCAAAAGGAUUUGAAACACAAAUAAAUCCACUUGUGUUAUUGUUAAACAAAUAAGGACAGUUUUUAACAAUUAAAGACAAUCUUUUCUCUGCAUGCCAUGUGUCAUGGUUUAAUUUACCAAAUUAACCAUAUACUAAUUAAAUAUGCUUUUAGAAGAGAAAAGUCUCACAUUUUGAGAUUUUUCAGUAAGUGAAAUACAGUAGCAGGUUUUCAAUAACUUAGUGUAGUAGCAGUAUACAGUAGCAGCACACAACAACACACAGCAACAACACGCAGUAACAACACACAACAACACGCAAUAGCAGCACACAACAACAACACACACAGUAACAGCACACAACAACACACGCACAAAGCAACACACAGUAGCAGCACGUAGUAACAACAUGCAGUAGCAGCACAAAAUAACACACAUCAACAACACACACAGUAGCAGCCCACAACAACACACGCAGUAGCAGCACACAACAACACACAUAGUAGUAGCACACAACAACACACACAGUAACAGCACACAACAGCACGCAGUAGCAGCACACAACAACACACAACAUCAACACACACAGUAGCAACACACAACAACACACACCAACAUCACACGCAACAGCAGCACGCAGCAGCAGCACAUAGCAGAAUGCAAUAGUAGCACGAAGCAUGAGCACGGAUUAGCUACAAAUGAUCACUUUUUGCUGUCAAAUUCAAAAGAUAUGGGUUUUAAUUCCAAAGAAUCUUUGAGUAAACCAAGUUGUAAAGAUCGAAGAAUAAUCAAAUCAGAUCUGGCUGGAUUCAGCGAAGCCUUAGUCAACAUUCAUCCUUUCAUUAUUUGGCUCCUCCUUUCUUCCUCGCCUCCUAGCGAUUUGGCCGGAGCGGUGACCGGCGAAGAAGAAGAGGAAGAGGAAGAGAAGAAGAGGAAGAGGAAGAGGAGGAAGAGGAAGAAGAGGAAGAGGAAGAGGAAGAGAAGAGAAGAAGAAGAAGAAUCGGUGCAAAUCUGAAAAUGGUGGAGAAGUGGUAUUUUGAGCCAGUGGCAGUGUUGUAGAUAUUUCAGAAAAUAAUAGUUUUUUGGGUAUUUUGCGUAAAAAAUUGUUGACAGGGCGUGGUACUAUGCACUGUGGGCCUGAGUAUAUGUCCUUAUUUAUUUAAAUCUGUUGAAAGAUGGUUUUUCUGUGUUUUGCAACUGUCUAUGGUAGUGGGAUGUCAUUUUCUAUUUUUUCUUUAGAUAAGAAAAUAAAUACAAGAGGAAACAGAAUCAAAUAGGACUGCCUCUAUUGCAGCCUGCACCGAGUUGAUCAAUAUCUGUACCAACUCGAUGUGGGAAUAGAAAAUGACCUGAUUCAGCCUACAGUUAUUUUACAUCAUUCCAUUACAAUUUCCUUUGGAACAGCCUUGAGAGGCUGAGCCAUUUGUAAAGAGAUGCUAAACUUGUCUUCCAAGUUCAUAGUCUCGGGUAGAACUCCAUCUUCAAGCUUCCAAUCAAAGCAGUUAAUGAGUGACCCCAUCAUCAAGUGCAACAUUCUCAUUGCCAAAGGCAAACCUGGACAGAUUCUCCUCCCACUACCAAAUGGAAUAAGCUCAAAGUUAUUUCCCAUAACAUCAAUUUGGUUGUCUGAUCCUAGGAACCUCUCUGGCAUAAAAGAGUUUGGAUUGUCCCAAAUGCUGGGGUCUCUGCCUAUGGCCCAAAUAUUAACUAGAACUUGUGCACCCUUUGGGACAAUGUAGCCCCCGAUUUCUACAUCUGUUUCAGCUUUUCGUGGAAGAAGCAAUGGAGCCACCGGGCGCAGGCGGAAAGUUUCCUUGAUAAUUGCUUGUAAGUAAGGGAGUCUAGCAAUGUUGGAUUCCUCAAUUNNNNNNNNNNNNNNNNNNNNCAUUCCAAUGUGACUGAAGUUGUUCUGUGCCUGCAACAAAUAGAGCCUACAAUGCACAGUGAGUCAGUGACUAAUAGAAAGUAACACUACACUGCAUUGCACGUAUCUCAUAAUUGAGAGAACAGAUUAUCAGUAGUCAAAGCAUUAUUGAAGUGAGUAUUCAAGAAGAACAGAUUGUAGAAGAUGGAGAGUAGAGAGUUAAAGACAAACCGAUAACAAAUGUUCAAUAACUUUGGGGUUGUUCAAAUCCUCCUCAUUUUCCUCUUCUCUGAGGUCUAUAAGAGUAUCCAACAUAUCAUUACUUGCAACAUAAUCAUCCCCUUUUCUAAAUUCCAAUCUUUGUUUGAUCACUGAUUCAAAUAAGCCUAACAUCUUGUUGUAGUGAUUCGUAAAGCGCCGCCUUCUGCCUUGGGGAUCAAUCUUCUUAAGCACAGGGAAAAAGUCCCCUAAAUUCGGUUUCCCAGCCUCCUCUAGCAUACCAGUAGAAAUCUUCUUGAACUCUUUAGUGAUCUCGUUGCUGCUACUCGAGUCAUCAUCUGCCAAAUCCACUGAGAAAAUAGUUCUUGACAGCAAAUUGAGUGAAGUUAUGAAAGCAGCCUUUCCAAUAUCUACUGCCAAACCCUUUAUCAUGUUGUCAUUGACACUAGCUAUGAGCUCUUGCACUUUCUCUCUCCGGUUUUCUUUGUUUGCAUCAAGAACUCUUGUGGCAAAGAGUUGGGAAGUGCAUAUUUUCCGAAGAUUUCUCCACCUUGGUGACACUGGCAUCCACGGCAAGCUGUUGUCUAUCAGUACACGCAGCGCAUCUGGGAUUGUUCUGUUGCAAAACAAAUGGUCAUAGAUUCGGAGGAUUUCUUUGGCCAUGGUUGGUGAAGAAACUACUACAGUGGUUAUCUGGCCAAGCUUCAAAGACAUAAUGGAGCCAUAGUGUUGUGAGAGGUUGGUCAAAGAGAUAUGAGGUUUGUCUCCAAGAUCAAAGAGAUUUCCAACCAAUGGAAAUGGCUUUGGUCCUGGUGGAAGCCUAACUCUGGUUCUUCUAUGGAGGGCUUGGAUUAAGAAGCAGGAGAUUAAACACAGAAACAACAGUAUACCAGACAAGAAGUCCAUCUUUCACUAACAAAUUAGCUUCAAUCACAACUCCAACUCCAACUCUCCUUGAGCUUAACUUAUAGGGAUGAGUUGAGCUAGAUUAUGAAUUAUUGAACAUCUAUUCACAUGUGAUAUAGAUUUCAAUGGUGAAGUUUCUCUUAAUUGGGACAUUAUAGGACUUUCUCAAUUUUGUGUUAGGAAAAUUGGUUAUGAAAUAUAGUGAGAGGCUGAUAAUCCUCUGCUAUCCUCGAUCUCAUCCCGCUAGGUUGACUCUUCUUCCUGCCAUACUUCUAGUCUUCUACCAUGUCUCUGUCGGACAUAGUAAAAGCUGGACUCAAUGAUUGAAAUUCAAACAAAUAGAAAAGAAAAACAUAGAGGAAGACCUAUAGAUCACCACCUAAAAGCUUUUGCUUGCUAAUUGAGCCAACAACUAGUAUUUCAAAACAGUUAGGCAAGAGCGGCAGGAUGCUUACCAUUCUCUACAAAUGCGCACCCCAUUCUCUGCAUGUAUAUGUGCACUGAUAUGUGUACUUAUGUUUUUGAGUUGAACUUGGUUGGUAACAAACUGUAAAUAUAUCAGUCCUCUUAAAGGCAAAUGUGAGUUCUUAAUUGUAGCAGUUGGUAGGAGUAGCACAUCAGUCUUUCUGAUGUUGCUAGUCUCCUAUUUGUUGAAACUGGAAAUAAAGAAAUAGUAGUGAUACAUUACCAUCUAGGAUGAGGCAUUGUGUGUUCUGCAACAUUUCAUGAUUAAUAGAAUUGUUAACUGAAUGAAUCAGCGCCAUCUUAGGAUGUUGUGUUGAUAUCUGAGAAUUACUCCUUGAAAUGUUUUUCCUGUAGUUUUUUUUUCUUGUUAUUCAGACUAUCUUGAACUAACUGUGAAAUAUGCUUAUUAAUCAUCACUAAUAUAUGUCGAAUCUUUUAUUGUUUGAGUUGAUCAAAAAUGUAAAAGUGAGGAGCAGUGGGAGUAACAUCCUGCUGAAUUAUAUCGUUGCAAUCAGUUUGAUCCAUGAUACAUUAUGAAUGAACAAAAUUUUGAUUGAGUUUUGAUUAUAUCUCGCAUUGUGUCAUUAUCUUCAUUCAUAAUAUUUAUCUGCAAAGUGUAUAGAACUACUUAUCUUUCAGGUAAUCAUGAAUCAACCUUGAGUUUGAGAUAUAAUUAUUGGUAUUGGUUUAUAGAUUCAUGUUUGUGGCUUGACAUACCUUACGAUUAAUCUGUGCUAACAAUUGCUCUGUGCUAACUGCUAAGGGUAAGACCAGAAACUACUGCAUUUACGUUGUCUUAUUUUAUGCUGCCAAGGUAGUUAUGUAUGCAAAGUGAUAUGUUGAUACAUGUUAUAAAGUACAUUUUGAAUUUGAAAAAUUUCUAGGAAAAUAGAUAUAUACAAGAGAAUGAGUCAAGUUAAGGAAGAACAUAUAGCUGGUCGUGGAGAACCGUGGUUUUGAUUCAUUUUAGAUUGAAGGUUAUAAAUGUGUUCCAACAGCUUAGUUUUUUUUUUUUUUUUUUUUUCCGGUUAUCAGACCUCACAUUUAGAUUUAUUGAGAAUAAAGAAAAAGGAAGAAAAAAAGGCGGAUGGUAUCUCACAUUUGCUCCAUUAGUCACUUUAUUAUCCCACUUUUCAAAAAUAUCACAUUGGUAUCUGAAAUUCAUACCCUGACUUAACAUAAGUAUAUGAAACUCAUUUAGCCGUUGACUCGAGUAACUGCUGUUAAAUUUUGAGGGGUAUUUUCGUCAAUUAUAAUUCAUAUUGUCUUUUAAAAUUAAAAUAUACUAUGUGAAAUCUAAACCAUCAAUUUUUAAAUUACACAUUUGUUGUGACCGUUCGAUAAGGAAUAAAACUUGGUUUUUCUUUCUCUGAGUUCCUCUGAUAUGACAAUUGCUCGGUGCUCAAGGCUAGGAGAAGCAUCUCCCUAGCUACCCCUAAUCCCAACCCCACACCCCCAAACCCUUCCCACACAAUCCCUUCUCUCCUCUGACUUCCCCAAGCUCUCUGCCACCGUCGCCGUUUCCCCGGCCGUCGUCCGCCGCGUCAUCAAGAAAUGCAACGCCGUUCGCCACGGCAUCACCGUUCUCCAGGCCCUCGUGUUCUUUAACUGGGCAACGUCUCGCAAGGGGUUCGAGCACAAAGAAAAAUAAUUGAGAAUAAAGAAAAAUAAUAGCUUGAGGAGAGGACAUACGCUACCAACUAAAUUGUGCUUUGGCCUUGAUGUAGCUUCUUAGAGCAAGUACACCCUUACCCCAAAAACAAACAAGACCCAGGCCUAAGCCAUGUCAAACAAAGACCCAGCCAGAAAAAACCUCCCUCCACCCAUGAAAUUUCUUUAACCUAGGCCUUCACUGGGUCUUUGCCUGGGUCAGACCUAUGACCCAGACCUUCCUCUACUAGCUCAGCCUGAGUCGUGGGCCAUGAUGUCGUCAACCAAGUGAAGCACGGAAGGGGGUUGAGACAACGCCGGAACCAUUAAGUGGAGGCCAUGCCGAUCGAAACCAUGGUUUGCUGGAAAACUUAACAUCGAAACAACCCAGAAACACAUAAAUAGGGUUAUUGAAAUUACAUUACAAAUCGGAUUAGGAUCCUCUACUUGGCUCUUAUUGAAAACACAGAAAAUUUGUUGAGGGUUCCCAUCAGAAUCAAAAUUGGUCGCCGAAAAUGCCAAGAACUCAUCGAACAGUGAGUGUUUCCUCCGUCGAUCUCCUUUGUUGAGGGUUGCAUGUGGUCAUUGAUUGAGAGGUUUUGAAGAGGGAGAGGAAAUGAACGUUUUGGUGGAGUGUGGUGGCCAGAAACGGCCGGAAUCGACUGGAGAAGAAGUGGCAAACGUGAGAGAGAGAGAGACUGAGAGAGAGAGAGAGAGAGAGAGGAGGGGAGGGGGGAAGAGAACGACCACGUUCGUUGUUUGGUUCGGUUCGACGACACACUACUUCCUUAACUUAAAACUUAAAAGUAAAGNGGUCGGACCGACCGUUAGUUAGUUAUCUACAUAUAUAGUACGACGAACGUAUUAUUUAUUUAUUUACUACACACUAACUAAUUAACUUAAUAAUAAUAUAUNCNCNCACNAGCGACGAACUAACUAAUAACUAGGUAGGUACGGUACGGUACGAACCAACUAACCUAACUACUCGUACGACGACCGACGACGACUCACCUACCACCACCGUACCGACCCGUACCCGUACCGUAACCGAACCGAACGACGACGGAGGGUACGGUACGGUUCGUCUUCUUACUUUACUUACUUACGUACGUAAGGUAAGGUAACGGAACGAAACGUAACGGUACGGUAAGGUACGUACCGUACCUACCGUACGUAACGUAACGUAACGUAACGUAACGUAACGUACGUACGUACGUACGUACGGUACGUAACGUACGUAACGUAACGUAACGUACGUACGUAACGUACGUACGUACGUACGUACGUACGUACGUACGUACGUACGUACGUACGUACGUACGUGUCGUCGUACGUAGUAGUAGUAGUAGUAGUAGUAGUAGUAGUAGGUAGUAGUAGUAGUAGUAGUAGUAGAGAGAGAGAGAGAGUAGAGAGAGAGAGAGAGAGAGAGAGAGAGAGAGAGAGAGAGAGAGANNANNNNNNUGAGAGAGAGAGAGAGAGAGAGAGAGAGGGGGGGGGAGAGGAAAGUCAACGCCAGUUUUGGUGUUUUGACCGGGUCAACACAACUCCUCUUCUUUUAAAACAAAAUGAGUGGCCCAGAUUUGAUCUAGCAAUUUGAUCAAAGGGUCCAUAUUAAUUUUUUUUCAUUAAUCCACAAUUAAUACCUAAUAUAAAAUUUAUUAAACAGUCACCGCCACAUGGCGACCUAGAAACAUAAAUCGUGGGUGGAAACUGCAACCCAAAAUUACUGCCACGUGACGACCCAGAUCUCACCCAUGACCCAGGCCUUCCCAACGAAGACGCAGAGGGUGGACUUGCUCUUAUAUCUCUGAAUGGAGACAACAGUGGAGUAUCCAUCCAAGCGUAUCCAAGAGUAUCAGAGGUGUAUUCGUGCGUAUACAAGUGUAUCUGAGCGUAUCCGAGGAUAUUUGAGACGUCCGAGCAUAUCCAAGUGUAUACAGGAUGAUUGAAGUUGAGUGAUAUAGAUUUGAAAGGUAUCAUCAGUUCAUUUUCCAAAGCCAGAAAUAUGCAAACACCUCUGUUUUAAAUAGUCUAGGCAAGAGCCAUCAAUUUUCUCUGCUCCAUUUAUUGUUUAACGAAAUCUGAUCACCUUAAUAAACAGCUUGAUCUAAUUUUGUGUUUGUCAAAUGAUGUGUUCUAUACUUGUAUUAUUCAAACCACAUAUUUGCUCCAAAUAAUAAUGCAAUGGCCACCUAUCUUUGACGGAAAAAAUGGCCUCCUAUCUUCGACAGAAGUAAUGGCCUCAUUAUCAAUACUCAAUAAUUCAGAUUGGUGCCUUGUACCACAAGCAACCUAACAGUGAGCAUAAGUCCUAGAUAUCAAACAUCCAAUUUACGUCUUUUUCCUUCCAUUCAUCAUAGUCGAAAAUUAGCCAUAGUCGAAAUACUGAUGAAGGCGUUCCGAGUAGGGAAAGAAAAGCAGCCAUACUUGUAGUCUAUGACUGAGAGACGUACAUGCUGAUGGACUGCUGUAAAAGUAAUGAUCAGAUCGAGCUUCUUGCAAGCUGCAAAUAAUAAAAAUCACUAAACCUUCAUGGAAAUAUAUAAGAAAGUUACUUCAUUUAUUUUAUAACGAAAUAAAUACAAGGGGAAACAGAAUAGAGAGGAACUGUCUCUAAGGCAGCCUGCACCAGGUUGAUAAAAUCUGAUAGUUGUAGCAACUCUAGGUGGGAAUAAAGAAAAUUACAUGAUUCAGCCUACAGUUAUUUAAAAUCAUUCCAUUACAAUUUCCUUUGGAACAGCUUUGAGAGGCUGAGCCAUUUGUAAAGAGAGGGCAAACUGUCUUCCAAGUUCAUAGUCUCAGGUACAACUCCAUCUUCAAGCUUCCAAUCAAAGCAGUUAAUGAGUGAACCCAGCAUCAAGUGCAACAUUCUCAUUGCCAAUGGCAAACCUGGACAGAUUCUCCUCCCA
rnacentral:lncRNA from 1 species